AUGGCCUCCUCUGCAUCCCAUCCGGCAGCAACGGCAACCCGGAUUGGAAUCAGCCGUACCGACUCGGGGAACAUUAAGGAAUCUUCAACUGGUGACUGUAGAAAUACUGAACAUGUUGAGGCAGACAAUACUGCUAAUCCAAGUAUGUUGCUGGAAGGAGCAGAUUCUCCUGCUAGGGGACUUAAUGCAAACAAUGACGACGCUGUUGAUACAGAUCAAGUCCACUUGGAGUCACCAAUUAGCCCAGCUACCUUAGCAGUGUCUACUGAAUUUGAAACUCAGACUUGCCAAUCAAGUAUGCAUGUGGAACGAAGUCCUGAAGUGCAACAUUCAACCUCAAUGCAAGAUCAACCUGCAGAAAAACGAGCAUGUAUCGUGGGUCCCGAGGCAGCAAUGCAGGAUGAGACAGCAGAGGCAGAGCGAGCAGGAGUACAGUUAUCUGGCACUGUGACACCUCAUGCUAUGCAACUACCAGCCUCAAUGCCUGUGGAACAGAGUAGGACACCUGCCCAACAAAGCUUAGCAACUUUGGGUCAUCCACCAGCAGAAGCAGAACCAGCAGGUAUUCUGGUCACAGAGGCAGCUUUUGUUUUGCAGCCUGAAGCCCGACUGUCAACCUCAAUGCAGGAUCAACCAGCAGAAGAAGGAGCAUGUAUCUUGGGCGCCACUGCUGCUCGAGGUUCGCAGGUUGAAGUGCAACCAUCAACCUCAUUGGAUUCACAUGCCGGAGCAGAAUCAACAGAUACGUUGGGUGUGGUGACAGCUCCUGAUAUGCAAUCGGAAAUACAACCAUCAGCACUGAUGCAGGAUCGACUUGUGGCAGCAGAAGGAGCAUGUGUUCUAGGAGCUACAGUAGCCCAGGAUUUGCAGACUGAACUGGAAACAGCAACCACAGUUCAGCAUGACCCACUUGAAAGAACACGCUCUGAAGAAAGGAGACAAGCUGGUUUUGAACCAAACACAGCAGCCAGUCCUGAGCAUGAUCUACAGUCUGAAAUACGGCCAUCAGCCUCAAUGCGUGAUCGACCUGCAGGAGCAGAAGGAGCAGUCACGCCAUUAGUGUUUAACAAUCCAAUAUUUAGUGAUGAACCGCUGAGAAAUGAGUUGGAAAAAAUAAUUCAUUGGAGCACUUUGCUUGAUAAAGGCCAUGAAGAUAAGAGAUCACAACUUCAGGCAGAGCGCAACCAAGGAAUAGAGAAGAUAAACAGGAAGUAUGACUCGUUACUUCAACAAGAAGAUUCCGCUCAUCGUCUGAAGCGGACUCAGUUGAAUGGUAUCUACCAGAAAGUUUACGUGAGCAAAUCACUAGCUGAGAAUUUCCGACGCCAGUUCACGCCAUCAGUUGCAUCUCAAGUUGCUGUCGCGGCUGAACCACUGCCACGUGGUGCUGCUGCUGGGGUACUGCUCGGAGCGGCAGGGACGGGCGGACGGCAGCUGGUGUUCGAGUGCAUGACCAACGGCAAUAGGAAGCCCAUGGACCGGGCGAGGGGCCUCAAGUACCUUCACCGAGACAUCAAGUCCACCAACAUCACGGACCGGUUCAGGGCCAGGAUCACGGACCUUGGCAUGGCCAAGUGCCUGAUGAACGACGGCGUGACGAGCUGCUCCAAGUCCGACGUGUUCAGCUUCGGCGUGGUGGUCCUGGAGCUCAUCACGGGCCGGCAGCCGGUGCACAAGAGGGGCGGCUCCGGCGCCGGCGGCGUGGGCGCGGACGAGAGCCUGGUGAUGUGGGCGACGUCGCGGCUGCGGGACAGCAGACUGCUGGUGGCGGAGCUGCCGGAGCCGGCGCUGAAGGGCGUGUUCCCGCCCGAGGAGAUGCAGAUCAUGGCGCACCUGGCAAGGGAGUGCCUGCAGUGGGACCCCGAGGCCAAGCCCACCAUGACCGAGGUCGUCCGCCGCCGCCUCAGCUGGCUUCGUCCCGGGGUUCCGUGCCGAGAGGCCACAGGAAUGCUCGGUGUGGCAGGGCGGCGACCACCUGCACGGAGGGGGCGCCUUCGUAUCGGGCGAGGUCGCGGUCAACAUCGGCAUGCCGGUGACGAUGGGAUGGAGCUGGCGGUCGGCGGAGCCGCGGCUGGAGACGUCCACGCAGCCGACGACGGCGACGAGCCUCUACAGGUGAACGGUGGUAGAAGAGUUAGAGGCCAAGCAGGUGACCUGGGAGCGCCCUGGCCGACCCGUGCUCGCGGCGGUGCGCCGUGGAGGUGCGACCCGUGCUCAUGCACGCCGCCGGCAAGGUCCGGUGCAGCUGUCAUGCAUGCACGCUAG
rnacentral:rRNA from 1 species